rnacentral:rRNA from 1 species
CCUACGGGUGGCAGCAGUGAGGAAUAUUGGUCAAUGGCCGCAGGGCUGAACCAGCCAAGCCGCGUGAGGGAUGAAGGUCCUAUGGAUUGUAAACUUCUUUUGUCAGGGAGCAAAGGGAGCCUCGAGAGGCGUUUCGCGAGUACUUGAAGAAAAAGCAUCGGCUAACUCCGUGCCAGCAGCCGCGGUAAUACGGAGGAUGCGAGCGUUAUCCGGAUUUAUUGGGUUUAAAGGGUGCGUAGGCGGAAUGUCAAGUCAGCGGUAAAAUUUCGGGGCUCAACCCCGGCGAGCCGUUGAAACUGGCUGUCUUGAGAGAGCGAGAGGUAUGCGGAAUGCGUGGUGUAGCGGUGAAAUGCAUAGAUAUUGCGCAGAACUCCGAUUGCGAAGGCAGCAUACCGGCGCUCAACUGACGCUCAUGCACGAAAGCGUGGGUAUCGAACAGGAUUAGAUACCCCAGUAGUC